rnacentral:rRNA from 1 species
UUUAAAUGAGAGUUUGAUCCUGGCUCAGGACGAACGCUGGCGGCGUGCCUAACACAUGCAAGUCGAGCGAGGCUUUUAGAGUGGAAUUUUUCGGAAUGAAACUCUAACUGUCCUAGCGGCGGACGG